CGUCGGAUUAGGUAGUUGGUGGGGUAACGGCCUACCAAGCCUACGAUCCGUAGCUGAUCUGAGAGGGCGGACGGCCACACUGGGACUGAGACACGGCCCAGACUCCUACGGGAGGCAGCAGUGGGGAAUUGUUCGCAAUGGGCGCAAGCCUGACGACGCAACGCCGCGUGGAGGAUGAAGAUCUUCGGGUCGUAAACUCCUGUUGCCCGGGACGAAUGGCUCCAACCUAACACGUUGGAGUGUGACGGUACCGGGUGAGGAAGCCCCGGCUAACUCUGUGCCAGCAGCCGCGGUAAUACAGAGGGGGCAAGUGUUGUUCGGAAUUACUGGGCGUAAAGGGCUCGUAGGCGGCCAACUAAGUCAGACGUGAAAUCCCUCGGCUUAACCGGGGAACUGCGUCUGAUACUGGUUGGCUUGAAUCCGGGAGAGGGAUGUGGAAUUCCAGGUGUAGCGGUGAAAUGCGUAGAUAUCUGGAGGAACACCGGUGGCGAAGGCGGCAUCCUGGACCGGUAUUGACGCUGAGGAGCGAAAGCCAGGGGAGCAAACGGGAUUAGAUACCCCGGUAGUCCUGGCCCUAAACGAUGAAUGCUUGGUGUGGCGGGUAUCGAUCCCUGCCGUGCCGAAGCUAACGCAUUAAGCAUUCCGCCUGGGGAGUACGGUCGCAAGGCUGAAACUCAAUGAAU
rnacentral:rRNA from 1 species